AGAUGUGAGGGCGAUCUGGCUGCGACAUCUGUCACCCCAUUGAUCACCAGGGUGGAUUCGGCUGAUCUGGCUAGGCGGGUGUCCCCUUCGCUCGGUCGAAGAGGACGACCAUCCCCGAUAGAGGAGGACCGGGGUCUUCGGUCAAGGGUAUACCAGUAGCUGCGCUCCCCUGCUAGAACCUCCAAACAAGCUCUCAAGAAAUUCAAGUGUAAGUUUCCCUCUUAUGUUAUUCAUUUAGUUUGUCUGUCUCU
rnacentral:snRNA from 1 species